rnacentral:rRNA from 1 species
UUGCACGCUGGCGGCAUGCUUUACCCAUGCAAGUCGAACGGUAACAGGCCUUCGGGUGCUGACGAGUGGCGAACGGGUGAGUAAUGCAUCGGAACGUGCCCAGAGGUGGGGGAUAACGCAGCGAAAGCUGUGCUAAUACCGCAUGUGAUCUGAGGAUGAAAGCGGGGGACCAGGCAGCAAUGUUUGGCCUCGCGCCUUUGGAGCGGCCGAUGUCAGAUUAGGUAGUUGGUGGGGUAAAGGCCUACCAAGCCGACGAUCUGUAGCUGGUCUGAGAGGACGACCAGCCACACUGGGACUGAGACACGGCCCAGACUCCUACGGGAGGCAGCAGUGGGGAAUUUUGGACAAUGGGCGCAAGCCUGAUCCAGCAAUGCCGCGUGCGGGAAGAAGGCCUUCGGGUUGUAAACCGCUUUUGUACGGAACGAAAAGGCUCUGGCUAAUACCUGGGGCUGAUGACGGUACCGUAAGAAUAAGCACCGGCUAACUACGUG